AGAUUUACCUGACAGGGAAGAUACCAUGGUCACAAAGAUGGUUUUCUCAGGACCAGGGGUAUCUAUUACACCCCAGAUGUGCUGACCCCUGAGACGUCCCCAACUGUGGGAAACUCGAUUGCACAAUUUGUGGAAGUGGGGGACUGUGUUCACAUUCUCCCCUG
ensembl:snRNA U1 U1 spliceosomal RNA